GACGAACGCUGGCGGCGUGCUUAACACAUGCAAGUCGAACGGAAAGGCUCUGCUUUUGUGGGGUGCUCGAGUGGCGAACGGGUGAGUAACACGUGAGUAACCUGCCCUUGACUUUGGGGUAACUUCAGGAAACUGGGGCUAAUACCGGAUAGGAGCUCCUGCUGCAUGGUGGGGGUUGGAAAGUUUCGGCGGUUGGGGAUGGACUCGCGGCUUAUCAGCUUGUUGGUGGGGUAGUGGCUUACCAAGGCUUUGACGGGUAGCCGGCCUGAGAGGGUGACCGGCCACAUUGGGACUGAGAUACGGACCAGACUCCUACGGGAGGCAGCAGUGGGGAAUAUUGCACAAUGGGCGGAAGCCUGAUGCAGCAACGCCGCGUUCGGGAUGACGGCCUGCGGGUUGUGAACCGCUUUCGCCUGUGACGAAGCGUGAGUGACGGUAAUGGGUAAAGAAGCACCGGCUAACUACGUG
rnacentral:rRNA from 1 species